AGACAGUGUAAAUGUGUGAAGGCCUGACACUUACACAUACAUUGCUUUUUUCUCUAUAUAGGGUGGCAGUUGCUGGAGUACCAGGGCACCAAGUGGAGGAUGUGGUAGACAGCCUCUAAGAUGUGCCCCCUGCCAAUGAUCUCUGCCUCCAGGGAGGAGCUAGAAGGCAGAGAGAAGGCCACUCAGGACUCCCCAUCCCAGAAGAUAAAGGUGAGGAAAGCAGCAGCAGCAGCCACAGGCCAGUAUUCCAGAGCAGCUUCGGGUUCCUGUCAAGACCUGCUUUGAGAAGGAGGUGGCUGUGGGGCUGGAGGGCUGGGCCUGUUCCUGAGCUGGCUGCUGGCAGCACAGCAAUGAGGCAACAUUGAGAACUGUGACACGAGGCCCAGUCCUGCUACUAAACCAACUGUGUGGACUUGUAUAGUCACUUAAUCCCUCAGGCCUCCAUUUCUCCACUUUGGAAAGCAGUGCUGGGACGAUGUUAAGGGUUUGCAACCUUCUAACUUGAAGACUUAUUUUUAAAAGCAAAACAUUUCAAAGA
rnacentral:antisense_RNA from 1 species